rnacentral:rRNA from 1 species
CGGAGGGUGCAAGCGUUAUCCGGAUUUAUUGGGGUUUAAAAGGGUACCGUAGGCGGACUUGUAAGUCAGUGGUGAAAUCUCAUAGCUUAACUAUGAACUGCCAUUGAUACUGCAGGUCUUGAGUAAAUUUUGAAGGUGGCUGGAAUAAGUAGUGUAGCGGUGAAAUGCAUAGAUAUUACUUAGAACACCAAUUGCGAAGGCAGGUCACUAAGAUUUAACUGACGCUGAUGGACGAAAGCGUGGGGGUGGCGAACAGGAUU